rnacentral:rRNA from 1 species
UGGGUUAGUGGCGGACGGGUGAGUAACGCGUGGGUAACCUGCCUUACACAGGGGGAGUAACACUUAGAAAUAGGUGCUAAAACCGCAUAAGCGCACAGCUUCGCAUGAAGCGGUGUGAAAAACUCCGGUGGUGUAAGAUGGACCCGCGUCUGAUUAGCUUGUUGGCGGGGUAACGGCCCACCAAGGCGACGAUCAGUAGCCGGCCUGAGAGGGCGGACGGCCACAUUGGGACUGAGACACGGCCCAGACUCCUACGGAAGGCAGCAG